UAGGCCUACGGGGCGCAGCAGUAGGGAAUCUUCCACAAUGGGCGAAAGCCUGAUGGAGCAACGCCGCGUGGGUGAAGAAGGUCUUCGGAUCGUAAAACCCUGUUGUUAGAGAAGAAAGUGCGUGAGAGUAACUGUUCACGUUUCGACGGUAUCUAACCAGAAAGCCACGGCUAACUACGUGCCAGCAGCCGCGGUAAUACGUAGGUGGCAAGCGUUAUCCGGAUUUAUUGUGCGUAAAGGGAACGCAGCCGGGCUUUUAAGUCUGAUGUGAAAGCCUUCGGCUUAAACGGAGUAGUGCAUU
rnacentral:rRNA from 1 species